rnacentral:tRNA from 1 species
GCCGGGGUGGCGGAAUCGGCAGACGCGGCGGACUUAAAAUCCGUUGGGGGCAACCUCGUGUGGGUUCGAGACCCACCCUCGGCACCA